rfam:Brachypodium distachyon strain Bd21 chromosome 4, whole genome shotgun sequence.
UAGGGUACCCUCCGGCCCUAAUUAGUUCAAUCAAAUGAACUAAAAUUCCAACAAAUCAUUUUUUGGAAAACUAGUUCAUUUGUUUGAACUAAAGAGGGUUGGAGGGUACCCUA